rnacentral:rRNA from 1 species
UAUGUUAUUAUUCUUCGUUGGUUCGUUAAAAAUGGAUAAAUAAAAACUUUGCAUACAAGAAUUAAUAAAAAUGUUAUAACGAAUUUAAUUAAAUGUUUUAUCAUUAUAUAUAAAGAAUUUAUGGCAAGAUAAAGUUAUAUACAACCUCAACUCAUAUGGGACUACCCCCUGAAUUUAAGCAUAUUAAUUAGGGGAGCAAAAGAAACUAACAAGGACUUAGUAGCGGCGAGCGAAAAGAAAACAGUUCAGCACUAAGUCACUUUGUCUAUAUGGCAAAUGUGAGAUGCAGUGUAUGGAGCGUCAAUAUUCUAGUAUGAGAAAUUAACGAUUUAAGUCCUUCUUAAAUGAGGCCAUUUACCCAUAGAGGGUGCCAGGCCCGUAUAACGUUAAUGAUUACUAGAUGAUGUUUCCAAAGAGUCGUGUUGCUUGAUAGUGCAGCACUAAGUGGGUGGUAAACUCCAUCUAAAACUAAAUAUAACCAUGAGACCGAUAGUAAACAAGUACCGUGAGGGAAAGUUGAAAAGAACUCUGAAUAGAGAGUUAAACAGUACGUGAAACUGCUUAGAGGUUAAGCCCGAUGAACCUGAAUAUCCGUUAUGGAAAAUUCAUCAUUAAAAUUGUAAUAUUUAAAUAAUAUUAUGAGAAUAGUGUGCAUUUUUUCCAUAUAAGGACAUUGUAAUCUAUUAGCAUAUACCAAAUUUAUCAUAAAAUAUAACUUAUAGUUUAUUCCAAUUAAAUUGCUUGCAUUUUAACACAGAAUAAAUGUUAUUAAUUUGAUAAAGUGCUGAUAGAUUUAUAUGAUUACAGUGCGUUAAUUUUUCGGAAUUAUAUAAUGGCAUAAUUAUCAUUGAUUUUUGUGUUUAUUAUAUGCACUUGUAUGAUUAACAAUGCGAAAGAUUCAGGAUACCUUCGGGACCCGUCUUGAAACACGGACCAAGGAGUCUAACAUAUGUGCAAGUUAUUGGGAUAUAAACCUAAUAGCGUAAUUAACUUGACUAAUAAUGGGAUUAGUUUUUUAGCUAUUUAUAGCUAAUUAACACAAUCCCGGGGCGUUCUAUAUAGUUAUGUAUAAUGUAUAUUUAUAUUAUUUAUGCCUCUAACUGGAACGUACCUUGAGCAUAUAUGCUGUGACCCGAAAGAUGGUGAACUAUACUUGAUCAGGUUGAAGUCAGGGGAAACCCUGAUGGAAGACCGAAACAGUUCUGACGUGCAAAUCGAUUGUCAGAAUUGAGUAUAGGGGCGAAAGACCAAUCGAACCAUCUAGUAGCUGGUUCCUUCCGAAGUUUCCCUCAGGAUAGCUGGUGCAUUUUAAUAUUAUAUAAAAUAAUCUUAUCUGGUAAAGCGAAUGAUUAGAGGCCUUAGGGUCGAAACGAUCUUAACCUAUUCUCAAACUUUAAAUGGGUAAGAACCUUAACUUUCUUGAUAUGAAGUUCAAGGUUAUGAUAUAAUGUGCCCAGUGGGCCACUUUUGGUAAGCAGAACUGGCGCUGUGGGAUGAACCAAACGUAAUGUUACGGUGCCCAAAUUAACAACUCAUGCAGAUACCAUGAAAGGCGUUGGUUGCUUAAAACAGCAGGACGGUGAUCAUGGAAGUCAAAAUCCGCUAAGGAGUGUGUAACAACUCACCUGCCGAAGCAACUAGCCCUUAAAAUGGAUGGCGCUUAAGUUGUAUACCUAUACAUUACCGCUAAAGUAGAUGAUUUAUAUUACUUGUGAUAUAAAUUUUGAAACUUUAGUGAGUAGGAAGGUACAAUGGUAUGCGUAGAAGUGUUUGGCGUAAGCCUGCAUGGAGCUGCCAUUGGUACAGAUCUUGGUGGUAGUAGCAAAUAAUCGAAUGAGACCUUGGAGGACUGAAGUGGAGAAGGGUUUCGUGUGAACAGUGGUUGAUCACGAGUUAGUCGGUCCUAAGUUCAAGGCGAAAGCCGAAAAUUUUCAAGUAAAACAAAAAUGCCUAACUAUAUAAACAAAGCGAAUUAUAAUACACUUGAAUAAUUUUGAACGAAAGGGAAUACGGUUCCAAUUCCGUAACCUGUUGAGUAUCCGUUUGUUAUUAAAUAUGGGCCUCGUGCUCAUCCUGGCAACAGGAACGACCAUAAAGAAGCCGUCGAGAGAUAUCGGAAGAGUUUUCUUUUCUGUUUUAUAGCCGUACUACCAUGGAAGUCUUUCGCAGAGAGAUAUGGUAGAUGGGCUAGAAGAGCAUGACAUAUACUGUUGUGUCGAUAUUUUCUCCUCGGACCUUGAAAAUUUAUGGUGGGGACACGCAAACUUCUCAACAGGCCGUACCAAUAUCCGCAGCUGGUCUCCAAGGUGAAGAGUCUCUAGUCGAUAGAAUAAUGUAGGUAAGGGAAGUCGGCAAAUUAGAUCCGUAACUUCGGGAUAAGGAUUGGCUCUGAAGAUUGAGAUAGUCGGGCUUGAUUGGGAAACAAUAACAUGGUUUAUGUGCUCGUUCUGGGUAAAUAGAGUUUCUAGCAUUUAUGUUAGUUACUUGUUCCCCGGAUAGUUUAGUUACGUAGCCAAUUGUGGAACUUUCUUGCUAAAAUUUUUAAGAAUACUGUUUGGGUUAAACCAAUUAGUUCUUAUUAAUUAUAACGAUUAUCAAUUAACAAUCAAUUCAGAACUGGCACGGACUUGGGGAAUCCGACUGUCUAAUUAAAACAAAGCAUUGUGAUGGCCCUAGCGGGUGUUGACACAAUGUGAUUUCUGCCCAGUGCUCUGAAUGUCAAAGUGAAGAAAUUCAAGUAAGCGCGGGUCAACGGCGGGAGUAACUAUGACUCUCUUAGCUAAGACAGAGGGGCGAUUAUAAGGAGAAAAUAGAGCAGAUAAGAGGGCAAUCAGCUCUCGCCCCGGAAGUUGCUAAUCUAACCAUAAGGCGCCGCCCUAGUAGAAGUGAGCGAGACCACCAAGUAACAACAUCGGAAACAACUCCAAUCACUCCCUUCGAACAGUCGAACAGGGAAAUUUUGCGGACACUACGCGGGUAUAGCCCCGUAGAAUGCCAUUCCAAAUGGAGAGCCCAAGAGUUGCAAACUAUCAUUGAUAGGGCACAUCUCGAGGGAAAGGAAACCACUCUCCAAUGCUUAUCGCUAUAUCUCCUGGGAAUUUUUCCGGCACAGGGUGUACGACACACACUGACGAGACCUCCUCGGAGACCUCGGAACAGGAGAGAAAGCAGAAGGCAGCAGUACGCUGUCGUCCAGCGUAACUGGGAUAAGCAUAAAGGAAGAUGCAUCAAGUCCUUGCUAAAUGGAACUGAUGAGUCGGUAAUGCCAAGCCAAGAAAUAAUGGUUCCCUACUGGAGAGAAGUAAUGACUCAGCCUAGCCCAAGCUCUUGCAGUGGAGAAGUGAUACAAAUGGAUCACUCGCUUGAGAGGGUAUGGUCUGCUAUUACAGAGCAGGACCUUCGGGCGUCAAGAGUCUCAUUAUCCUCGUCUCCGGGGCCUGACGGGAUAACU